GCCCGGAGCCGCCGUGCCGAUGCCACGUGGGAGGCGGCGGAGCCGCCGCCGCCGCCGGGCCGGAGCCGCGGCCCCGCUGACGCUGGGGACGGCGCUCGCCGGUCGCCGCGAGGAGGGGAGGUCGCGGAGCCCCCGGGACCGCACCGGGAUCGCCGAGACCCGAUGGGUGCUCGGCGCGGUGGCGCCCGGCUCGCGGCUCGGCCUCCCGGGCCUAGAGGCGCUGGCGGCGGCGGCCGGGCCUAGAGGCGGCUCCCCGCCCUGGGCGGCGCCCUCGCUGCUGCAGGUGCCGGCGGCGGCCCAGCCGGCCCCGCGGCGGGACGGCAGCGACCUGCCCGCCGGCGCGCCCGCCGCCCUGGCCGUGCUGCGCCUUCAGCCCGGCGCCGAGGGCUCGGCGCGGGUGGCGGCGGCCGGGGCCGCGCCGCGCCUGCGGACCGUCUACGUGAACCCGCGCUGGCUGGAGCGCCAGGCCGCGCUGGGGGCGGCGGCGGCGGCCGCCAGCCCCUGCGCCGAGGCGGCAGCGGCGAGCGGCGCGGCCGGGGCCCCGGCUCCGGCUCCGGCUCCGGCUCCGGCCCCCGCCCCGGCCCCGGCCCCGGCUCCGGCGGCGGCGGCGGGGCAGGGCGAGGCCGAGGCGGCGGCCACCCCCUACGUGGGGCUGCGGCGGCCGCUGGGCUACAAGCUGGCCAAGGCCACCAAGGAGCGGAUCUGGCGGGGGGAGUUCAUUGACCUCUUUUCCUUGCUCCACACAGAGCUGGCCCCCGAGCACGGCCCGCGCCCGGGGGACACGCUGGACCAGUGGGUCUCGGCCUUCCUGGUGUACGCCAGCGUGCUGUGCGAGAAGCACCCGGCGCGCUGCGGAGCCAUGUUCAAGUACCUGGACACCAUCCGCAAGCUGCACGCCACCUACGGGGGCACGUCCUGGAUGAACUACGAUGAGGACUUUCGGCGGCGGGCGGCCAAGAACCCUUCUCUGCCCUGGGGCGACGUCGACUUGGACCUGUGGAUGAAGUGGAUGGCGCCCCUCAAGUCGCUUGUCCCCAGGCGCCCGCGUGCUGAGAGCGAGACACAGGCCUCGCCGGCCCAGCCGCCACCGCCGGGCCAGAGCCCCAAGCAGGAGGAGAAAAGCCAGGUGUGAUGGGCCGAUGGCCGCGUGUUUCUCUGCUCCGCUGGCUGGGCAUGGUGCUUCCUCGGACGGGAAGAGGAGAAAGGGGGUGCGCUUGUCUUGGUCGGCAGCUCUCUUCUCGUGGCACUGACCCUUUGCUCGUGCUGACCAUAGGGACAUGGUAUCAUGGGUGCCCAGCUGGCCACCGUGAGAGGUGUGCACAUGGAUGGAUGCUCUGAGCAAAUGUUUGAGCAUUUAUUGCUCCGGCCACCAGAAAAUAGGAACCCCGCUAAUUCCUUCUUCUGACUCCAUGAAAACAGAGGACCAGUUGGGAUGGAAGUCAGACUAAGUGGCCUGACUCCGUUGGUGUUUAAGUGGAGCUCUGGUAUUCUAGUGCAUUCUUUUACCUCUGCUUCUGUUGCGUUGCAAGCUGUGCUAGAGAAGACGUAGGAAAUUCAUUUUACCCAAUCAGCAAUUGUAACAAUGGACUACAAACCUGCAGAGCAAGCCAGUUUGCUGGAAAACAGGAAUUCCUGCAGCGCAGCACUUGUCACAGACUAUCCAAAGAGGGCAAAGAUUCAGGAAGGUGAAUAAAUUGAACACUGGUUGAAUGAGGUCAGGAACACUCUCCUGGAGGAGAAUCCUGCCCUAAAAUACUACUUUGAAAGUAAAAGCCAAUUUAAUGCACAGAUUAAACCUUCUCAUUUGACCAAACUUGUGUGCAAUCCUGGAUCUUUGCAGAUUACAACCGGACACUUCAAAACCCUAUGUAUUAUAUUUGUUUUAAAAAAAAUAAAUCAUAAUUUGUCUUGUUACAGCUGUUAUUUUUGCCAUUUCAUUGGGAGUAUCUGCAACAUAAAUGUGUAUUUGACUCAAAAAAGUAUAUCAUACACUCGGGAUAAUAACUCAGGUUGUCAACAGAAUUAUUCUGUGAGGCUCAGUGUCCUCUCUCCAUUGUUCUGCAUUAACCAUUGCUGUCAUUGCUGGAUAGCCCAAUAGUGCAUUACAAAAUUCUUCGUCAGUUAUAAUGAUUUACCUAAGUUAUAAUUCUGUUUUUAUCCUAGUAGAAUACUUAAAAUCCUGACCAUCAGACUAGACCUUUGUCGUCUGGUGUUCAUGAAAAUCUUUUUCACUGAUUCAUGGUUUUCAUUCUGCAUCUCAGUAUUUUGUUUUCUUCUCCUUUUUCAUCACAUACUAAGGGGUAUGGUCAAGGUAAUAAUAUGAUCCAGUAAUGCGCAUGAUGGUAAGGGUUUGCCUUUAGUUGUUUCAGGAAAAAGCUGCCAUUAUCUCCUUUCCCUUUCUCAAUAUUUCCAAUAAUAUGCAUAACAUAAAGUGUUUGUAAAUUGAUAUCAAACUGUUUGUGACUUCACCUAAAUAAAUUUUUAUAUUUAAAUGCUAUUCUUAAUCUUAUCGGGUUUUUUCCUCCCUUGUUUUUGUAUUGCCACUUCUAUUUUGUAUUUACUUUUUUUCUAUCAUCUGACUUUUUACACAAUUUACAACUGAAUUUUAACUAACAAGUGAAAAUAAAUCAGCCUUUGGAAUUUUCUUCCAAUAUUUUGGAUAAAGACUCCAUAAUGUAGUUGUAAUUGUUGUAGCUUAUUCAUCUGCCUGUUUUUGAGACAGUGAUAGAACAAAUCAGGCCUUGAAAAUGAAAUAGCUUCGGUACUAAAAUACCCAUAUCUUAAUGGCCUCCAAACUGAAACUGAUCUAGUGAACGCUGCGAUUCCUGCACUUGGUACAGUAGAAUAUAAAGCACUUUUACACGUUACAAAAAUACUUUUUGUUUUCAAGAAGGGGCUUAAGCUCAAUCAUCAGUUCACUCAUGCCGUUUUUUUCUUGCCCUCCUGUUUUAAGAAAUCAGAAGUUGGUUACUCACUGGGCUGUGCUGUGUUUGUUUCCAUCAUUGCUACAUGAACCACAUGGCUGCUGCAUCACUGCAGGCAUCUCUGCCGGAGCAAGUGCUGUAAUAGUGGCAGGAUUUGGGGAGAGGUCUGGGAAGAGGUGGAUGUGGAGUGAGGAAGGGUGAGCAAAAACUGGUCUCAUCUGUUUCGCUGACGAAUUGUAUAACUGUUGUGUCUUAACCUAGAGACUCAGAGCAGCAAAGCAGCAACAGUUUUGGUUUUUGCGUCCUCUUUGGGAGCAGCAUGGCCAGCUGGAGUCUAAAACACUUCCUAAUGUUCUUUGCUGGGUCCUUCUGCCAAGAAUGUUUUGGGUUUGUUUGUUACUCUCUCCAGCUUUCAUACAGUCUGGUGCCCUUCCUGGCACUCUGUCACCUCCUAGUCUCCUGGUUGCUACUGUUUCUGGGUUAGACCACCCUGUCUUCCAUGUCUGCUGUAGAGAAUUGCCAGAGCUCUACCUUGCUCUCCAGUGUCAGUGGCUGCUUUAAAGUUGCUGCCUGCUUUCAUAAUGAAAUUGUGUUUCAUUUUAUUGGCAGCAAUGUUUUUGAAACAUGUGGGACCUCCUCCCUUUGCUGUUUUUCUUCCUCACUCUCUUUGAGCCACCCUGCAAUUUCACUGUGGUACUUGUGCAUCUUUGUUUUAGGGUUUACUGCUGCAUGUGUGCUUUGCCUCUCAUUGCUGUGUGCUCUACACCACACUGUGCUGUAAGAUUCUGCAGGAAAUUUCCUUCUAUACUAGUUUCUUAUGAAAAUGUUGGACUUCAAGGAGUUUCUUCAAAUUUCAGCAGUUAAGUUACUGCAUAGGUUUGCCUCUGUCCUUGACACUGGGGAUAACUAUAGCUACGUGCUGUGUGAGGAUGGAGCACACACUUGGAGAGAGGCUUGGGACUGAACCAUGAUCCUGUUACUCUUGGGGUAACUGAUCUGCAGUGGAAACCAGCAAUACACAGGAGUUAUUUUUCUAUAACUACUGUUUCUCUAAAUGCUGUUUCAUAGUGUGGGGGGGAUGUCUUUGGUGUAGCUGCACUUUCUUAUGCUUUGCUCAAAAGAUUUUGGGCAUUUGUACAAAGGUGCAAGGCAGAGCUUUUCACUAAGACUGAUGGAAUUUCCAAUUAGGAAUAUUUAUGAAGUGUGUGAGACUUGAUUUGUUUGGGAGGAUGGGCAACUUACGGAAAAACAGUUUUCUCUCAGUUAAGUAGAAUUAAAGAGCAUACUUUUGAGGAGUAAUUUCAAAUAAGUUUAUUUUUUGGGAUAUCUAGCAGGAUAGCUUUUUUCUCGCACAGGUAUGCUUUUUCAUGUGCUGGAUUGAUAUGCAUUGUUAUUGCAAAGAACAAAUCAAAACUAGUGCAGUGUGAUUCUGACAGCACAAAACAAGUUGCAACAUAGGGAUAAGACUAAAAUACAUAAUUCUUUAAGUAAGCUGAUGUGCUGGGGGCGUUCAGAGUUGAGCUGUUGCAGAAGUAGAGUCAAACAAAUGGGAUUUCUAACUUCCACCUGUGUACAGCAGUUCAGUUUGAGGUAUUCCAAGCAUCUGAAACGACAAGGCUGUUACUACUCUUCUGGCCUUAUUAGUACAUGGAUGUGUCUUUAAAGAUCAGAAUGUUUUGCGUAUGAGGUAGUCUGUUGCAUCUACAGUUGAACAAAAUUACUUCCAGUCUCUGAUGAGAUCUUCUCAGUUACUCAGUGUGACUUCCAAUUUAAGCCUCAAACAUUGCUUUGCCAUCUUCUGCUGUCUCGAAUCAUCUUACCAAUUUGGUUAUCUUCUUUAUAAAAAUCUGGUGAGUACAGCAGAUGUGUUCUGAGGGCAGUGUCUGAUCAGCCUGUCUGUAUGUAUGGAGCCUUUUGCCCAGUUGCGUGGGCAAACAUGCAUGAAGGAAGUCAGAGUGUGUCUUCAAGUGUGGCUGAGUGGAAAACACACAGGAGGCUCCUCAGCUACAUGCCAGGCUUGUGUGGUUUUGAGAAGACAGUGGCAUUGGCAGCAUUUUUUCUGGUAAAAUCAAACCCAAAAGCCCCAGAGACUGUUGUAACCAUUGAGGGAAGGGAUGUGACUCCGUUCUAACAGCCUUGGUGGUGGUGGAAAUGUUGCCUAGUGAGGUUACCAAACUUCUUUUCAGGUCGUAGGCUUAACAGGGACUGCAACAAUUGAUAGUGUCUGUGGGAGUGCUUUUGGUAACUCUUCCCAUGGAGAGAUUACAUCUCUGAAAACUUGGCUGGAGAAACUAUAAAGAUCUUAUUUUCCCCUCUUGUUUUGGUACACAGGUUUGGUUUUUGCCCUAUCAUGAAGUUUAGCAUGCCUCAGCCCAACACAAUAAAGGACAUUUUGAUCUAUAAAA